rnacentral:rRNA from 1 species
UACAGAGGAGCCAAGCGUUGUCCGGAUUGACUGGGCGUAAAGCGCACGCAGGCGGGUGCGCGCGUGGGGUGUGAAAUCUGGCCGCUUAACGGCCAGGCGCCAUCCCAUACGGCGCGCCUGGAGCCUUGCAGAGGUCGGUGGAAUUGCCGGUGUAGUGGUGAAAUGCGCAGAUAUCAGGAGGAACACCGGUGGCGAAGGCGGGUCUCUGGGCCGAUACUGACGCUGAGGAGCGAAAGCGUGGGGAGCGAACAGG